ACGCUCGACACCUACGGGAGGCAGCAGUCGGGAAUAUUGCGCAAUGGAGGAAACUCUGACGCAGUGACGCCGCGUAUAGGAAGAAGGUUUUCGGAUUGUAAACUAUUGUCGUUAGGGAAGAAAAGGACAGUACCUAAGGAGGAAGCUCCGGCUAACUACGUUCCAGCAGCCGGUAAUCUGAGCGGGCUGGCAAGGC
rnacentral:rRNA from 1 species